UUUUUUUUUGUCCUUUUUUUCAUGAGAAAUAUGAUCCAAAAAUAGAAUGAUGGUGUGUUGGUAUAAAAUUCAAUCAUUCUUAUGCAUUUUCAUAGAUAUUUUCUGCUUUCAAUGGACAUAUACCAUUUUUCUCCUGCCUCCCUGUUUCAUGAAAAGCAAUUAAAAUGUGUUAAUGAGGCUUCUAUUUACUUCAUUAAUUUUAGGGGAACAACGAGCUUUACGAGGAGGAGUUGCCAAAGUGUCCUUGCAGAACACUUACUUUCCCUAGUAAAGGUGGUUGCGCCCAUCCUCCCGCAUUUGGCUGAGGAUGUUUGGCAACAUCUUCCUUUUCAAUAUACUAAUGAAGAAGGGCAAAUUGCCAAAUUUGUCUUUGAGUCAAGAUGGCCUAUAAUUAAGGAAAGAUAUCUCGCUUUUCCUGUCGAAGAAGUCAAUUUUUGGGGGAAAAUUCUUGAGGUAAUACUUAUCUGUGAAAAAAGACUACAAGAUAUGUGCAGUAACUGCAGUUUCAAAUCUGUGUGUUUAAGACAAAAAGUGCAUCUAGAGUAAAAAGCAUUUUAAGAGAUAAAGUUGUCAUGAUGACCAAAUUUGGAUGAUAUUGCCUAAUCCCCUCUUUUUCGUAUUAGAUAGAUGCAUAGAUUUGUGGUGAAGAAUUGAAAGCUAUAGGCCUUCAAUUUACUUCAGUAUUGAUUUCCUUGGUUUAGCUCCAUUUCUCACCUUAAGUCCUUGUUUUUUGCUGCUUAAUGAUGGCACUGAACAGCUACAUUUCUUGUAGCUUGUUAUUUUAGUCAAGUCAUUGGUCAACUUCACAAUUUCUCAAUGUGAUUUGAGAAAAUGUAUGAACUAAAGUAAAAUGCUUGUCCUCUCUCUCUCUCUCUCUAAAGAUGUGUAUACACGUGCACAUUUAUGCAUAUCUUUCUUUCUAUCAACCAGAUUUGAGCUUAACAACUAAUUCUAACUUAACAUACUUUGACCAGCUAAGAACUGAGGUAAAUAAAGUGCUAGAGGUUGCUCGAUCUGGGAAGCUAAUUGGUUCAAGUUUAGAGGCGAAGGUCUACCUCCACACAUCAGAUGAUACUCUAGCUGCAAGAUUGACAGAAGCUUGUAAAUCUGAAACUGAUGCUGAUACGCUACCUCGUAUAUUCAUUACAUCUCAGGUAAUUUGGUUCAUGGUUUAUAUCUCUUUGCAAUUGCUGACUCUUGGAAUUUAAACUAGUAAAUCACGUAAAAGUUAGUCUGAUGUGUAUAACAAGCCGAUUUUCUUUGCAUUUAGUUUACCCAAGACAAUGCAUUAACGAACUCUCUUUCUUUGUUUUUAUUUGCCUUUUUUGGAACUCCUGGACUUGUGCAGCACGGGCAGUUAUGCCAUGGUGCAGUCCUCCAUACCAUGCUUGUGGCACACUAUUAAGGAGGUUACCAUUACAGUCUGAGAGACUUGUCUUGUUUAUGUGGGAACCUGGUCGUUCUCCGUUUGACAAUGUCCUUCCCCUUGUUUUUUCUUUUGUUCCCUCAAAACUUAAAAGCUGUCAGUAAACAAAUAAAGGUCUUACUACAGUAUAAAACCCACGACGUGCAAAUGACUCACAACACAAACUAGAACAGCCAAUGGUCACGCAGACUAAGGCAAAAGCGACACACAGUAAAGUGCCCUUGUUAUUUUCUCAAAUAUCUUCAAAGCUGGGAUAAGCAACUAUAUAUCUUGAUAUUCUUCUUCAAUCUUUUCUGAAGCAUUUGAAUUUAGGCUUUCUGGGGAUUAACCCGGUAUUGCACUUCAGAUGCCAUCGAAUGCUUUUACGAAAUUUCUCACUGAAGGUGGACAAAAUUAAUUCUGUCCAAUCAAGCCUUUCUUAAUUUUAUGACUUGUGUCUCAUAAAGGGUUUACUUGAUACGUUGGAAGAGGAUUUGAAUUGAGUUGGAGGUAAGAUUCCAAAUAUUGGUUAAACUGCAAGUCAUGUUUUAGACAGAACUUGGGCCAUAACCAUCAUAAAGGAGAGGUUUAGUAGUUAUUGAGUGAUUUUAUACAUCACCUCUUUGAUGGUUAUAUUUUAAUCCUUUUGAAAAUAAGAAAUAAUUGUUUGGUUUACUACAGGUACAAGACAUGAAUGAGGGUAGGGUUGAGUUUGCCUUGUCAGCUAUGAUGAUUAAUUGUGUGAUGCAGGUGGAGGUUCUUCCAUCCCUGGAAAACGAGCAUACUGAAGAUGCAUCAUACACAGGAGAAUUUCUCAUUGGAGGAAAAGACAGAGUAUGGAUUCGCGUAACGCGUGCAGCGGGCUCAAAAUGUGAACGAUGUUGGAAUUUUUCGCCUCAAGUUGGCUCUUUUGAUGAGCACCCUUCACUUUGCAGCCGCUGUUACAAUGUUGUCGCCGGUCAGCCAGAACCUGCUCUGGCAGCUGUGAGCUGAAUGAAAAACUUGGGGAGGUGAGAGAGCCCUGAUAAGCUUUUUGAAGGCCAUAUUUGAAUCACUCUCAGUUCAGCCAAGCUAUCAUCGGGCCUCGCAAGUUAGCUACUCGGAUUUCAUUAUUUUGAAGAAGACCCAAAUUUUGGAACUUGCAAGUUUUGGUGUCAAUUGAUAUGUAAAUACAUUGAUCUGAACAGCUUAGAGGCAAUUCUGGGGGAAGUAGUACAUCCCAUUUGCUGUUAGGAAAACCGGUAAUUGUAUUCAAAACAAGGGAUGUGUAGAAAAGCUGCGAGUGGUUUAGCUGAUCAGUGCAAGAAGCAUUUUCAAGAUUUCUAAUGCAAAAACUGUUUCAUCUGCUUCCAUUACGAUGACAAGCUGUUCAGUUUAAUACUUAUUGAAUUGUUGCUUCUUCCAUUAUGAUGCUGUCCAAUCACGAAGCCCUCGAAUUCAGUACAAGAUGAAGUAGUCAGAAUCCAGUCUGAAGAGUGGCGGCAGUUUUAAAAGCUGGAGUUGAUAUUGGAAAAUCGACUUCAGUUUAGAGUUCGACGGUUGCUUCAGAUUUUGCGGAAUCUAAAUAUGGAAACUAAAUAAUCAGAUUCAGCAAAAUCCGCUCGUUGACUGAUUAUAUAUUUUAAAUUCUUUUAGUGAUUAAAACAUAUACUUAUAUCAUUAAAAUAUGAAAACAUCUCAAAAACUAAUUAUUCAAAAUUAGAAACUAUAAUGAUUAUAGAUUUUAAUUUUGCAGUGAAUAAAAUAUAUAUAUAUAUAUAUAUAAUUAGAAUACAACAAAAACUACCGACAACAUCACAAAUUAGUUACAGCUUUCUCGUUCGUCUUCGUAUGUGUAGUUUUAUACAUAUUCAGAACGCAGAAGCUCCUCCAUAAAAGUCUGCAGCUCAUAUCCUCAGUGUUAUGUCACUUCAAAUUUCCAACAUCACCUGAAAGUCUAGAUCCAAAAUACACCGCCCACGUUGCAUUCGCCGCUUCUACCCUUCGCUUUUCCCAGCUGCAAUCGCCGGUCCCGCCACUGCAUUCUCAGUUGCCACCGCCGUCACCGUAGCUUCCAGGUUCUCCUUUCUUUAAACAGACCUAAUUCUUAAAAAUAACCAAGCGAUUUGGCAAUGAAAUUCAUGAUUUAUUGUGUAUGGUUCUGAAAUUUUUAGUUGCUCUCCCACAGUUAAAUCUAUGGAUAGUGCUUCAGACCAAAAAGAAGAAGAGAAAGAAUUAUAUUGGUUAGUGCACGUUAUCUUGCUUUUUAUGUGUCUUACCUCGGUGAUACGAUUGAUGAGGAGGAUUAACUUGAAUUGUGUAUUUACCCAGGGAAAAAAAACCCGGUCUUUGAUGCAAGACUUCAGUAUUUCUCUUAUCUUGACCCAAAUAAGCAUUCCCGAGAGCUACUUGUCUGGCUAGAAAAUUUCUAGAUUAGGAGUAUUUUUUUUUUGCCCCUUUUUGGUCUGUCUUCGGUUUUAGGAUAGUGCUUUCAUUUGGGUUGUAUUUUAUGUCACACCACCCAUAUCAGGUGGCAAUGUCUUAGCCGGCAAAGCAAUGGAAAUGCAUCCAAUUGAUCAACUUCAAUGCCAGCCGUCCCAUCUUGGGUGGCUAGUGCUUUCAUUUGGGAAGGAGGAAGAAGUUAAAGGAGGACAUCUUCCCUUUUCUAUUGGACAGUUGGAUGAGAGUAACUCAAUGCUACUGCUGGUGAUGGAUGAGAACCGAGUUCUAUAUCCAUGCUACAGAAUUUUGGUUCACAGGCUGUGUUUUUUUUUUUUCUUUAAAUAAGAAAUUAGCACGAUUGGUUUUGAAUUCGAAAGUAAUGAAUUCGUGUUUCAACUAUUUUUAAGGGCGAAAACAUUUGCUUUAAUUGGUUAUUGAUCGUUGAGCUGAAUUUUAGGGAAUUGUGGUGUUGCACCUUGGUGCUGUGCCCUUUCUAAUGGUGGAUCUGUUCGGGCCUGAGGAUGGAGGCUGUACUUUUUCCUUAUUUUUUUAAUCCUGUUUUUGGUUUUCCAUUAUGCUGACAUAAAUGACCACAGAAAAUAUAUCAGGUGACUUUCACUUGGUAUUUUCUGUGUGCUUAAUCGCCUGAUAAUGGGCGUAAUAGUGUAACAUGUACACCUUUAAGAUUUUGAUGGUAAUUGGAGAUAUUUAAUAGUUUAGCUGCCAAAAAUUUACUAGAUUAAUAGUUUAGUGGUCGUUUUAGUGUAUUUUCCUAAGCUUUUUCUGUGGAUAAAUAACAGGAAGCAGUUUGUUUCAUUGGCAACAUAUAGGUUCUGGUCUGUAUCUUAGGCAUUUAUGAGACUAAUAUAUGAUUUUAACUUGUUCUUUCUUCAAGUAUACGCAUUGUCCAUCUUUCCCGACUUGACUUCUCCUCAGCCAUUUACAAUUUUCUCUUAUCAGGAAGUGAAAUUGGAAUGGGGCAAGGGGUUGGCUGAGAAACGAGACGCUGAAGCAAGGAUGCAGGAAUUAGAAGCUGAGAAAGACGAACUGUUUGCAAGAAGCAGGUACACAAGAAGAAAGAUUUUCUUUUUUCUGGUUGUUUUAAUUUGCAUGUAUUAGUUAGUACUAUAAAAAAAAAAAAAAAAAAAGUACAUGAAUCAUUGCAUCAAGAAUCUGAUCAAUGCAUAGAGCAACUUGCUAAGAUAUGCAUCCUCAACAGCACGUUUCUUCUUCUCGCAUAUGGUUACUCAGCCAAUGUGGAGAAUGAUUGCUUAAAUUUUUUUUAUCUAGAUUUUCACAAAAACUACUAAUCGUCUCUUGCGCGCCUGCCUGAUUUAUUUUAUGUUUUUUAAUCCCUCGCAGAGAUGACCCCCGAACUUGAUAGAACGCUCAAGGAAAGAGUUAGAUGGGGUGAUCGGUCCUAUGGCACAUUUGGUCAAGGCAGUUUUCUGAUUAAGUUCUGCUGUUUAAUGGACUGGCCCCAAAGAAAUUCUUUUGUGUGAACUCAUCAUUUACCAUGUUGCAGUUGCUAGAGUUAUUCGUUAAAUUUAGUCCCAGUAAUUAUUUUGGGUGGUUUAUGAUCAAAUGUUUGAUCUUGUGCAUCUACUGGGGUUUGAGAAACAAAUGUUCAAUAGAAUGAAAUGAGAAACAAGCUACAGAGAGGGAGGCGUGUUUGUGCUCUGCGUCAGACAUGCGAGGAGUAGUAACCAGUAUCAUACGACACCUGGUGACGGGUUGAAACUACAGAAAAGACGAGGACAAGGGAUUUAUCAGUGGAAAACCAACGGAGGGUUGCCUUGCCUGUCGCCUGCUUCAUUGACGGCCACGAAUGAGAUUAGACCUGGGGAAUGGCAACUUUGUCUUGUAUCCUAUUCAUGCUAUUGCUUGCAGCUCUCUGCUGCAGAAUUUUUAUUCACUGCUAAUACUACUUUUUCUUUUCUUUUUUUUUUUUUCCUUUGACCCCCCUAUGGUACCGCCUAUCGAAUAAUCUUUGCUUCGAGAAUCUGGAAGUUUUGUGGAAGAAAUUUUGCACCCUUCAAAACAUAAAAAAGAAUCUUAGCCGAGGGAUUUUGAUUCAACAAUCUUUGUUUCAGCAAAUUUAAGGAAAUAAACUAAAUAAUUCUUCUUUUUAUUACCAAAAAUUAACUUGAGCAAAUUACCCGCGUCUACCCGCGCCACUGCGCGGAAAGAGACGCAAUUCCAAUGAAACGUCACUAUUAAAAGAAAAGUCACUAUAGAAGAACUAGCUCUAAGCCUGACUCAGUAAUUUUCAACGAGGCGAUUUAGUUGUAAAAUAUCUGCCACCACUUGAAGAAUAUGAAGUAAAUCUUUGUAUUUUUUUUUUUUAAUUUACAGGCACAGAUGGAAAAGCCAUCGGUUAAAACUACGUGACUAGAUUAAGACUCUUCCACUAUUGUUUGGCCAAAUGGCUUAAUGUUACACGUAUGGGAGCUCGGCACCAACCAAUGGCUUCAAAGAGAAUUGAACUCAGCACCAGAUUCUUGAAAUGGUUGUUGCAUCAAGUCUGAUCCUCCAUCUUCAUCUUGGGAUAAUAUUGGUAUAUCCUACCAAGGAUAAGCCGCGUAAGUUACGAGUCAUCAUCGAGAAAAAAGAAUUACGGCAUCCCACCACCGCCAUGACCCCAAUAAAACCAGAAACAAGUCGCAAAGCAUAAUCAAAGGAGAGGAGACCAUUUUGGACCAGAGUACCAGAAUCACUAAGCCAUUUUUCCUUCCAUUGCAUAACAAAGCCAACUAGUGCUCAUAAAUCAACAAGAAAUGAUGGGGGCAAAAGGAAGAGAGGAGGGGGGAAGCGGCAUGCUACUAACACCAGUUUUCAUUUGCUUUACAACAGUAGCACUCUCACAACAAGCGGGAUACCAAUUACGCUUCUAUCCUGAAAGGUCAUGUCCUAAAAGUCCAUGUAUACCAUACUGCGAAGGAGAAGCCAUGUAUUGCAAUUGUUCAAUUCUUAAUCACUAUAUCAGAAAAUCAAAGAAGAUAAACUAGGGUUUUACAUGAUGCCAGUCAAUACCUGUGUUUGCAACAAUUGCUGCGAUUGUUGGUCUUGGGCCGCAGGGCAGACCUGGGGUUGAGACAUCCGGUAAUAGGGUUCUUUUAGAUCAAGUUUGCCCGUUGAAGUUUGGAGUAUUCCACCUUGUUCAGCACCAGGGCCCCACAUCUUAGCUAUUAAUGACACCAAUAGAGUUUUUUCUUUUACUAACAAAAAUAUGGUAACAUUGGCAACUAAGAGAAACUAAAAUUAUCACAAGUCCAAGUCAAGUAAAUUGUAGAAGGAACUAUAAUGUCUAACCAGAUAAUGUCAGGUGAAUUGUAUAGCUCUGAGCAGUAUGGGCAGCCAAGUGAAGUCGACCAGUUAUUUCUUGUCCUGGCAUGACAUAAAUUGGCUGAGAUAAAACACAACGUAGCUGGUACCAGUGGGUGGUAGGUGAGCCAGGUGCUGUGCUCAGCCACCUCUGAACAGUGCUGCAGGCAAAGAAAUUUUACACAAUUGCUUUAAAAUGCAAUCAAUAACUAGAAUGACCACUGAAGAGACAAAAACGGAAUGGCUUACCUUCCAUUAAAUAGUACAUCAAACCAGCAAGCCAAACCAUGAAUUCGAGUGCCAACAGAAGACACAAAUUUUAAAGGGAUGUCUAUGUCAUAUAAUUCUUCCUCCUGAAAUACGAUUGAGAUUUUACAUUAUCCUCAUGAUGCCAAUCAGGGAUCAAAUCAAAGCCAAUUUUUCUUCCUUCAUGUAAACACCCCAGCAUAUUCAAGGUAUAACAGGACCCUUCUUCACCUAAUUAAAUUGAAAGAAAUUGGGGGUACGACUGGACCAUUGCUUGGUAAAGAGCACGUAACUUGCAGCAGCAGAGAUUUUACUAGUACCUUGAUUGAAGUGAAGUUUAUCACAUGAGAGAUUGCAGGAGCCACUAAUAACCUUGGAUCAAAAGCAUCAACCACAGGCUGUAGCAAACAGGAUGCAGGUUGUGAGUAGAAGAAAGCACAUAAUUGAUAAGGCAAAAAUUAAAAACCUAUUCUCUCCAAAGAAAAGACAAAUAGAGGGUUUACCAAUAAUAAAGAAAGGGAGACUGAUGGAUAGUUUACUACAAAAUAGGGCAGAGAAGUGACAGGAAAAAAUUUUCAGAGAUGGACGAGAACAAAAAUAAAAAUUUCUUCUCAAGACUUGGAAGAAAAAUGCAGAUGUUUAUGAGUCCCACCAAACCAGCAAGUCCAAUAGGAUGGCUGAAGUUAAUGUAACAUAUUUUGAGUCUACAGAAAAUUUUGCACAAGCUAAGAUAUAGCACACAUUGAUCAUGAAUGCAAGCUUUUCUCAUCACCUCCUUUUACUUGACAUUGUUCACUGAAAAUGCACUUCUAUUUCCAAAACCCCUUCCUUCAUUUUGAUUUGAAGAUUAUCAGCUAAAAGUUUUCCAACUAGUCACAGAGGUUAUAGGAAAUUAAAUAGCAAAGAACCUGCAACAAAUUCUGCUAAAGGCAAACCAUAACAAAGUCCAAAAUCAUAUACUCUUGAGAGGUUCUUUAAUAACAUAGACAUGUUAAUAUUGAUCAGACAUUUCUACAUUUAUAACAUAGCUCUAACUUGUAUUGGUGUUCAAAACACCCUCCUCAGAACAUCAAAAAAACAGUUGAGUAAAAAAGGAAAAUCAACAAGAUAAACCAUAAAUAAGUCCAAAUUCAAUACUCUAAGAAAUAAAAAAGUUAGACCUGUGAAAAGUAUCCUUGGAAUGCAGAUCCAUGUAACGAUGUCAAAUUAACACCAUAAUAGUUUUGCUGCUGCCAAAAGAGAGCCUAGAAGACAAGAAAUGAAUGGAAAUUCAUGGUAAGGUAUGUGUUGUCAAAGGACAGUAAAAUUAACCAUGACACUAGGACCACUUCGAAAAAAUUACAGACUUUUUGUAUUCCCCCCCACCCCCCCCCCCAGGGGGUUCACCCAGUAAUGAGCAAGUAGGUAACAAUACACCUCAAAUGUAUACCUUAUUCGCAAUUUCUAUGUAUAAAUAUUCAUCACUGAAAGGAGCCAUGUGUAUUCUGCAAAAGCAAACAAGUCAAGCAAUCAUACUGCUACACUGGAUGAGAAAAGAAGCCUCAUCAACCUCUGAGGUAAACAGAGACCUAGAAGGCCUUAACAUGCUAGAAAAUGGGUACAUAUGGCUGGAAAAGGUCUAUCUCAACAUAUUUGACAAAACUUCGGAUUACAUGGAUAAUGUGUGUUGCUUAGCAGCAGCAGAUGACUAUGCUUAGUAAAGAAAAGAAAGCAACAAAAACAAAGUUCUCGCAAAUUAAGAAAUAGUUGAUGCUUCUUUUGAAAUUCAUUUGCUAGAAUGUCGUGCAGUAAAUCAAGAAUAAGUAAACAUUUGAACCAAGAUUUGACCUUUCCAUUUGUCUAGGACAAAAUGUGAACAAAAUCAUGUGUGUUGCUUAGCAGCAGCAGAUGACUAUGCUUAGUAAAGAAAAGAAAGCAACAAAAACAAAGUUCUCGCAAAUUAAAAAAUAGUUGAUGCUUCUUUUGAAAUUCAUUUGCUAGAAUGUCGUGCAGUAAAUCAAGAAUAAGUAAACAUUUGAACCAAGAUUUGACCUUUCCGUUUGUCUAGGACAAAAUGUGAACAAAAUAUACUCAUAUUAAGGCAGUUAAAUUGUAUCUCUACCCAUAAAUCUGCUAACUGAUUUUGUUAACCUAAAAAUGCUUCUUAUUUUUUCUUUUUGGGUGGGGGAGGGAAGAAAAUUUAGUUUUUAGAUAGAAUGACAAGUAAAGAGUGCCUUGGUUGUAAUAGUCUCUAGAACACUGCUUUUACAAACUGAAAUUACCUUCCCACUGCAGGGAACAUUUUUCCAUUUGGAACAAGGAAACGGUCUCUUGCAAUCACAUAGGACUCGAGCAUUCUCUCAUUGACCAGCAAAGUGCCUGCAUGAGGGAAUCCUUCUCGUCAAAUAGAUGGUAAACAUAUUAAUAUUCAUCACAAUAGCCCAAUAAAGAAAAAGGCCACAUGUGCCUCAAGUAUUGCAUGCGCUGGAUGGGAAGUAAUAACAUAAGAUUUAUUUGACAAGGGCAAUCAAACUUUAACUUCACCGCCCUGCUGGGGGGAGACACACACACACGCACAGGGGUGAACAAAAAGGAGCAUGCUGCCGUCCCAUGCAUUACGAUAACAACAUUCAUGACUAAAAAAUGCAGACUAGUCAGCUAAAGGCAAUAGGAGAGGAAAGGAAUCUGCAAAAAAAAAAAAAAUUAAAAUAACAAGUAUGAAAAAGAAAAGAUGCCAAACUCCUCAGCCACAACUCAGCAAUCAAUUUUUUCCCUUUUUUUUCUUUUUGGUCUUUUCUUUUGGUGAGAAGGGGCUGUGUGUAAACAAAUUCAAGGUACAUGCUGAAGACCCAAAAUGAAGACAGAGGAAACUUCUAAAGGGACUUGGAAAAUGAAGAUGAUGAACGUCAAUGCAUAAAAAGCAGACAAUUAACAGUUUUGAAAUUCAUCUCUUCCAUCUCAGACCACUAGUCAUUCAGUAUGGCAUUGCAAUGACAAGAACCAGGAACCUCAUCUACUAGAUCUCCUUUCGAGUAUGACAAAGUGAACUUACCCAUAGGCUCAGAUAUCAAGAUGUCAGCUUUCUCAGGUAAUUCAACUUCUUCAACUUUGCCCUUGAUUACCUAUUAUAAUAUAGAUGGGAAUAUUAACUUCCAAUUGUAUUAUAUAACAGCUAAUAAUGAUUCUCACCGACAAAUCAAAUGCCAAGACAAGCACUCACAGUAAUUCUUUGACUAAGUAUUGGAUUCCCAGCAAUAAGUUUACGCGCAUAUUCUGCCAUUUCAGACGCUUCAACAGCAUAGACAUGUUUUGCACCAGCCUGUGAGAGAGAGAGUGAGCAAGCUGCCAAAACAACUCUUCAUAUCGUUUCUCACAAAAGGAACCACAAUAAAGAGCAAAUGUUUCUGAGAGAUACAAGUAAUUAGGAAAACCUGGGCAGCAAAUAGGGACAAAAUGCCACUACCAGCACCAACAUCAACAACUACACGGCCAAAAAAGUCGGCACGGUUCUCAAUGACAGCAGCAUAAUAUGUUCCUGAAACAUACAAAUUAUUAAUGGCACGGCUUCAUAGUUUAAGAAAAAACAAACAAAAGGGGAAAAAUUUUAGCAUUAUCAUUACAACUCUUGCUUUAAGUAUCAGCAUCGUGCUGCAACUAAAUGAAAUUCCAGAAAAGAUGUUCAUACUGAUUUUCCAUCUGUCUUGAUUUACAUACAGCAAGAAACACACUUCAAUUGCUAAGGUUUCAGCUCAGAAAUCGCAGAACAGGCUAUUGCACAAUUUUAAUUACUUAUAUACAUAUUAUUACGAAUAUAUGUUACAUAUCAAGCUUGUCAGCUAUGAAUGCCUAAUCCAUUAGAGGGAAUUUUGUAACGACGAGAGGGAUUGCUAGGUGUAUAACAGAAAGAAUGGUUGAAACAGGAACUCACAAAACAAAAAGGAAGAAAAAGCUAAAAUGAGGUGAAAUUCAUUACAUUAAGCCAAGCAAGGGCACAAGCCCAACCAUGUUAAGACAGCCUAAUUUUUAUUCGACCAUGGCCAUGUACAUCAUGCAUUAAAUUAGCAGCUUAAUAAGGAUCCUAUUUAGUAGCAACAUAUACCUUGUUCAAACAAAAUAUCAACAUAGAUGAGGUUGAAGGAAUACAAAAUUACAGAUUACAAUUCUAACCUGUUCUCACAUAAUCCUGCAACAUAUUUUGCUGAUGCAAUAGUUGCCCAUAAUAGUGGAAGUACAUUUUAGCAGAAGAUGCCUCUAUUUUGCUAUCAAAUUUGCUUUGUGAUGCCAACACAGUCCCAUUUGGCAAAUGUGAGGCUGAAAGAAAAAGAAUGAGUGCCAAAUUAAGUUAUUGUUCUUAGCCAAUAUCAAACAUCUAAAAAUUACAGGAAUCAAAGUAAUGAUAAAGAGCCCAUCUCUUAUCUAAAAGUCUCAAGGAACUGCCUCUAAAUGCAAAUUGAAAAUGCAAUAUCAUUUGAAAUGCAGUUUGUCCCAAUGAAAAAUUAUGUAUACAAAAUGAAGCAAAAAGUCCAAGUUUGAUACACUAUCCUAACCAUUGAAUGCAUCAGAAGAAACAACCUCACCCACAACAGACAAAAGAGGAGUUCAGUCAUGUGAAACAGAAGAUGCAUGCAAUAUGCAACUAAAGUCAACAUGCCAGUCCAUUCUCCAAAACUCAUAGAUAAAUAUCAAAACAGACCUUGAAAAACCACUUCUUUCUUCCAUUGAUCAAAUGCACAAUGGAAGGCCCUACUUUCCUCCUCGUUUCUAAAUUGAAUGGUGAUUCCCCUUGAAUAGGUUUUCUGGUUCAAAAGCACAAAGUCAACACAAGGACAUCUGAUAAUGCAAGGGCAGCUUCCACAAUAAUGCCAAGCACAAGAGAAUUAUAUUUCUUUUCCAGUUUAUUUGUUGGUAUCAAAUAAAAGAAUUUAUACUACAAGUAAAUUCUUUGUUAAGGCUUUUAUAAAAUAGUUGAAGAACUAUUUCAUCUGGCAAGAUCAAUUUGAAACCUUACUGCAUGAUUAGUAAAAUAAUGCUCAAAGUUCACAACUUUAAUCCGCAAUUGCACCACAAAAUAGUCCAUAUAUCCAAGGUUAUACAGUACAGUGCACACACACACAUGCACAGAAAGAGAGAGAGAGAGAGAGAGAGAGAGAGAGAGGAUGUUAGCCUGAUAGUCACAGAAAUUGGAUCAGAAAAGAUGCCAACAACCCCCCCCCCCUUCCGGGGUUCUUUUAGUACAAUGCAGAUCUGGAAGAUUAAAACUUUCAAGAUCCUUAGCAUGUCUAGUCAAAAAUUUUGGGACAAUGUCCCAACUUGCAGGUCUCGGGAACUACAAGUUGAAUGUGUAGGCAUACCAGGGUCAACGGGUGUCAAAUCAGAUACCAAAAAUCAGUCCGAGCUUGUAAAACAUGGCCAUUCUUUUAAGAUGAAAAGAAAUCAGAAGUCCACCAUUGUUGAACAGCUCAAGUAAAUUUAAAAUGUAGAAAACUAUUCCAUAUAAUGCACGGUUCAUAAAAGUAAAUGAGAGUUGAUAAUCAGUAACUUGUACCUCUUUAUUACUUUCCGAAGCUUCUUGUAUGCACAUUGACUGAACUUGGCUUAGUUUAAAAAGCUGGCAAAAACGAAAAGAAAAUAAAACGAUUCACGCUUCAAGAGAAUUGCAAGCAAGUCUCAACAGUCAGAUGACAUUACUACAAAUGUUAAAGUUUUAGGCUUUUCACCACCUUUUCUAUUGCUUUAAUUAACUUCUAUUUGCAAUUUCUCAAGAUAAAAAUUGAUGAAGGAAAACAGCAUCACACAAAUUCCUUAAGAUCUAUCGCAAAAACACCUCCGACUUUUACUCUAACACACCAUGGAACGAGUUAGCAAAACAGGACAUCUACAGCUCUAAGCUACUUAAAUAGACAUUAAACUUAAACAAAAAAAAUAAUAAACUUUACACCUUCUUUCAAAAUCUUAGUAGCAUUGUUGCCUUCGAUGAAAGGACAUUCCUCGAGUUAUAAAUUUUUUUUUAACCAUAAAAUACUUUAAAAAUAUGUCCUUUUUUCCCAGCUAAAACUUCCAAACUUUAAAUUGCAAAAUAAUAUUUCACACACACAAAACAAACAAUACAAUCUCUCUCUAUUAAUGAAACAUCCUAAAUGUGGAGCUUGCACUCCCCAAGCUAUAUCUCAAAUAUAGAAUUUACACGAAUAUAAAGGAAAACCAAAAAAACUUGCCUGAGUGCAACGAAGAUCGAAAUGAGGCAAUAAAUUAGAUUCAGAAUCUUCACCAAACCGAAGCUCCGCCACUCCAUUAUUAAACCUAAACCGCCCAAUCACGGGAGAAGAACUCGAAGACGAUGACGCCGGUACCUCCGUUAUUGAAGCGACAUUAAAUUCUUCGUUUUUCACUAGCUCUUUCCCCUCUUCUACAACCGGAACCUCCAUUUUUCAAUUUCUCUAAAAUUCGGAGCUUUAUUGGAAUUAGUUCUGUAUGAAUAAGAAUUGGGGGGUGUUCGUGUGUGUACAAAUGUGUAUACGUAUAUAUCCGUAUGUAUAGGAUGACAGAGAAAAUCUAGGGUUUAAGAGAAGACUGACUGACUGACAGAAGGUGACAAAGUAGUGGGGCGGUUCUAGUGCCGCAACAGCUUUCUUGUACUGGAACUCUACCACCUUGUUUAGGACUAGUGUCUUUUUUCUUUUUUCUUUUUUUUCCUUUUUUAUUAUCCAACACGAUAGAUUCUAUUCUACGUCUAUCUCUACUUUAUACUAAAAGUCUAUAUUAGGAAGAACGAAGGAUCCAAAAGGGUCAGGAGGUAACCUGAGGAGACUGGACUACCGCCAGUAGAUUCUACUCUACAUCUACACCUACUUUUACUUUUUACUUUAUACUAGAAGUUUAUACUAGAAGUCCUACUUUGGAAGAAAGGAAGGAUUCAAGGGAGUCAGGAGGAAAAUUCGAAGGAACUAAACCAACACCAGUUUAGACGGAUAUCUAUAUUGCUACCCUAUACUAGGAGUCCUACUUUAUAGUUUAUACUAGGAGAAAGGAAGGACCCAAAAGGGUCAAGCGGAAAAUCUGGGAGAGUAAACCACUAUCGAUCUAAAUAGAUAUCUAUACACCCGCUGGUAAAAUAUUUUAAGAAAAUUCUGAAUUUAAAAUGCAAGCCAGGGAUAUGAUUUCUUGACCUACGUCCAAGUAAAACCUUAAGCCUCUCUUGAUAGCCAACUACUCUAAAGUAAUUGAUUAUUUAAGACUAGUGUCUAAGGCACACACGUUCACAUAUGCAACUAAUGAAAGUAAUUUGUGUUUGAAUAUAUUUGAAAUUAUUAUUAUUUUCACAAAAAGUAGUUUUAUGCUGUAAUGGUAAAUAUGUAGAAAAUUCACUAAAAUAAAAUAUAUAAAAAAUAAUUAUUAUUUAUUGAUAAUUCAUAUAACCAUAAUUGAUAGUUGCUAAUAAAAAUUAAGGUUCAUUAAAUAAUAUAUUCAAUCAAAACUCCGAUCACUUUUCCCUAUAGAUAGCAAUGGGGUGUGUAUUAGCAAAAAAAGGGUUUAGCUUUACUGCUAAUUCGCAGUAUUUCUUAUAUAAGACUGUAAUUAAUUAAUUGUUUACAAGAAAAUUCGGACAUCUUAGCAUACGCUUUAGAACUAAUUCUCUGUUGGUGCUUUUCUUGUUUGAACGCACAGCAGUUUAUCGUUUUUGCUUUUCAAAGGUAUACUUCUGAAUAGUGUAGCGUAGUGUAGGUUCACCAUACAGAUUAAGUCAUCCCAAUCAAUCUUAUAGGAGCAGAAAGCACAAAAGCGAAGCUGUAGGUUAUACCAAUCGCAACAAAAAAGCUAGUGCUUAUGGAAUAUAUAUCAGGGGGGGAUGCAAUGGAAAAAGCAUGGCGCUUUAACAGAGCAUAACUUGAACCAGUCAUCUUCCUUUUGAAGCAGUACUCAUGAUGAAGUCCGUGGAAUUGGAUCCUCAAAGCUUGUUUCAAGCUGUGUGAUUAUGUAUCCUCGUGCUGGUUAGUCUUUUUUUUAAUCCUAUCAGUCAAAACAAAACAGAUUAGUUCAUUGUCUAGGCAAAUGGGUUGGUUCAUCAUCAUUCACGCACAUUUUUGGUAUCAGUCAAUAAUAAUAUUUUACAACUACAAGCUACCCACGAAAUGCCUGAAAUCAAACUUCUUGGUGGUUUCCCGAGUGUUCUAACAAAAGAAAAGACUGAAAUCACAGCAGCAAGAAGCUAAACCAUGAUUCAUCUUUUCUCCAUCUGUCGGCCGCAUUGUGAAAAGACAAAAAAGGAAAAGGGCCAAAAGCAAAAAAGUGAACUAAAAUAAAUCCAUAAACCACUCAGUUUUCUAUCUGACUUCAACCAGUUUAUCACAUCACCAAAGGCCAACUGGCACCUGACCUUUGGCUCAUGGCGUAUUAUCAUCAGCUUCAGCAAUUGCAUUCAUUAUUUCGCGGCGCCCAUGCUCUAAGACCACAGAGCCUGAUCUUAUCAAACGUGGCCUUUAUUCCUAGUGCCGCAAAGAACAAAAUUAUACUAUAUACAGAAACUCUUCUGUGGAGUAACCUUUUCCAUUCAACUUCAAAAAGCGAAUACUACUGUGUAUUUGUCACUGUUUUCUCCAUGUUAGUCAGGCAGCAGUACUACUAGGUUUCAAGCUUAUGCUUAACAAUCCAAAUACAUAACAAUUCUUGCGUCCUUGAUACUCGGGCAUCUAUGCGCACUGUGCAAAUUUCAAGCCUCAAACUCUUUGAGAGUUAAGCCAACAUAACAGCUUAGUCCAUCAAGGUAUUAUCGGUUACCGCAUCACAGGCUGAUCAACGACAUAGCAUAUUGCUGCAAUUACCCAGCAGAGUUCAUCGCAACCAUUUGCAGUGAAUCGUAAGGAUCAGAGAAAGUCUACAACCAUGUCAGAUACUGACUAUCACACUGUUUAGAAUUCUGUUCCAUUUUAUUCCAAUAACAAACAACAGGCAUACAUACAUACAGCAGAAACAGGUCCAUUUGUUAGCCAAGCACCUUCUUUCCAGCCUUCAGCUGUUGUGUAACAGUCGCACGUUAAAUGAACUAAGCCAUAAUUCUAAUCCAAAUAUCAAGACAAGGAAGAAAGAACCAAGAUCAGGAACACAUUUGAGACGUUCAAUCGGCUGAUAUUCUGUCUCCAUCUACAGAUCCAAUUCAAUUUCAAAGAUUUAGAAACUUGUCAAUAAUAUUAGGAAUGCCAGAACUCUAUUUGCAGCAGAGACAGACACCUUAAAAAUGGUCAACAAAGUUUCACCAAUAAGCUUGACAAACACAACAGGUCGAUCUCAAACUGCUUCCAAUAUGGACAUUGCCCCGUCAAUUCACCAAAUUUUGUUAGCCUAUUGUCACUAAUGGAUUCGGAAACCAAUCUUGUCAGCAAAAGUUGUUCAAGACGAAUUUGAUGGUGUCUCUAUUCCCUUAAAGUUGAUAUCAGUAUCAAAACUCUACCUUACAUCCAACAUAUUCUGGGCAAUACCCAACUUGUAAGCAGACCUAAUACAGACGUUCCAGCGCUCAGGCAAGUUCAGGAGCAGCAACAAAAGUUUAUCAAAAUAACAGAUGGUGGAAAAGCAGAAAACGACAUGCCUUGAAGUCAUUAGGAGUCCAGCCUACUAAUAACUGAGAAGAAAUGAAGUCCAUCCACCAAGCUUCUCACAUUCUUCCUCUUAUGGAACUAUUACAACAUGCAUAUACAUAACUGCUUCCAGUGUUAAAAUUAUGCUAAUUAAUCAGUAGUAUUGAACUUGCAGCUCAUAAAUGAAUAUAUAGAACAAAGUAUUACCAAAUUACCUAUAAAAAACUGGUGUAUUCACAGAGCAGUUGAUUCAAAUAUCACAAGCUUCUGUUACAAACCUUAGGCAACUUGUGUGUGCCGCAAUAUUUUGUCAACUUAAUCCUGUCAUGUUCAUCAUACUAGACAGUGGCUUAUUGGGCAUGUUCAAUCACAUACUUCAUCAGUUUAAAGCCUUUCAUUGCUUGCGCUAAGGUAUAAUAUGACAGAAACUCAAAACACUUGAAAGAUGUGAUGUGCCAUCGUAUGACAAGCGUAUUUCACAACUUUCUGCUACUAGAAACACCCAAAUGAAUCAGAUAAUAGACAAUUGACAGACAACCAUAACAUAUUAAUGGUUUAGAUUAUGCUAAGGAACCAAAUAUAGACAAGCAACCAAAUUCUAUAAAAAGGAGUACAUUACUAUGAAUCACGCUCACCACCUAAUGAUGGACUAAAUUCCAUAAGUGCAAGUUGAUGAACUAUUGGACUACAUUCAGUGAUCCAUUAAACGCACUGUCCAGGAAACAGAAAAUGCAACCCAGAAGACGCAUUUCCUUAGAUAUUGCAUUAAUUGAAGUAUACUGCCAAAGUUAACAGCUAAUACAAAUUCUGACUAUGCUUUCAUUAAGACUAUUUCACAUAAAGAUUGCGACAAAUAAAGGAAUACAAGAACCAGAGCUCUAGACGAGUGAGAGACAACAACAAAAUACAAAAUGACAUGUAUUAUGAUUAACAGUCCCCCAAAAAACAAAAAUAAGGCAGAUAGGGCAACCUAAUCUUGAUUCCAAAUCUACCCCUCCAAUGCGCACCUAAGAAGCAGAAACCUUAACAGCUUUAAAUGCAGGGUGAAGUAGCCCAAGCUCAUCUUGCACUUCAAGAGGAUUACUUGUCUCAUUCCGUGUCCUUUUGACUUUCCGACUAGCAAGUGACUUGUGAGUGAAUCCAUACAUCUGAAGAAUCUGAUUGUCUGCAAAAUUAUGUGCACGAUCCAUCUGCUUCAAACACCUCUCAACUGAAUAAUCCCCAAACUUUCCACAAGGCUUGCAACCGACAAAGUGAGUCACAAGUGGCCACCGAUGAUCGCCCAGACCAGGAUGAUAAUUCUCAAUCAUUUCCUCGUAUCGAUCCACUAAAAUUCCCCAAUAACCGUGCAAAUAAUAAGCACUCUCAAGGUACACCUUCUCGGCCCACUUCUCCCUCUGAGUUGUCAAUAUAUAAACCAUAGCAGACUGGUCAUCAGCUUCAAAAACCGGUCUAUCCUUAAGCUCCCUAGUCAGAAGCUCUCCAGCUUCAUCCCUUAUCUUGCCUUUAGGACCCAUAGGUGCCCAAGUAUCAAGAAUAUCCAAAGACCAU
rnacentral:lncRNA from 1 species